rnacentral:rRNA from 1 species
CACGUAGGGUGCAAGCGUUGUCCGGAAUCAUUGGGCGUAAAGAGCUCGUAGGCGGCUUAGUAAGUCGGGUGUGAAAACCCCAGGCUCAACCUGGGGACGCCACCCGAUACUGCUAUAGCUAGAGUCCAGUAGGGGAGUGUGGAAUUCCCAGUGUAGCGGUGAAAUGCGUAGAUAUUGGGAGGAACACCGGUGGCGAAGGCGGCCCCCUGGACCGGUACUGACGCUGAUGCGCGAAAGCGUGGGUAGCAAACGGG